rnacentral:rRNA from 1 species
AGUGAACGCUGGCGGUAGGCCUAACACAUGCAAGUCGAACGGCAGAAGAGUAAGAGCUUGCUAUUACGGGUGGCGAGUAACGGGCGGGUGAGGAAUACAGCGGAAUCUACUUUUUGGUGGGGGAUAACGUAGGAAAACUGACGCUAAUACAGCAAAAGACCUAAGGCAGAAAGCAGGGGAUAUUCGGACCUUGCGCGAUUGAAUGAGCCGAUGUCGGAUUAGCUAGUUGGCGGGGAAAAGGCCCGCCAAGGCGACGAUCCGUAGCUGGUCUGAGAGGAUGAUCAGCCACACUGGAACUGAGACACGGUCCAGACUCCUACGGGAGGCAGCAGUGGGGAAUAUUGGACAAUGGGCGCAAGCCUGAUCCAGCCAUACCGCGUGGGUGAAGAAGUCCUUCGGGUUUUAAAGCCCUUUUGUUGGGAAAGAAAAUCAGCAGGUUAAUACCCCGCUGUUCUGACGGUACCCAAAGAAUAAGCACCGGCUAACUUCGUG